CGAUCGAAGGUGGAGGAAGGACUUCUUCGCCCCUCCGCUGAUCGCUUAAUCCGUCUCUAGAAGCCUCUUUAUGGUGGUGGAGGUGGAACGGGGGUGGCGGUUGUCUUCUACUCGGAGGACCCUCCCUGGCGUCGCCAACUAUAAGGAGCCAUGCACAAAAGUACUUUCUGAAGGUUCAGAAGAAUGGUAGAAAUGAACAUGUACCACCACCUCGACCCAAGCAGAAAGCAGCUUAUCCAUAUCCUCAGAAAGCUGCUAAAAAUGAUAUGUCAAAACAAAAAUGUACUUGUGAGUUCUGCCCAUUUUGAACCAACAUCAUCGAUGCAUAGAGAUCCUGCAACAAUGGCUGUUUUUUUAUUGGGUUCAGAGUUCUAUCGAGCCUGUUACUUCAUCUCAUUCGACAAAAGGUCUGAUA